AUUGAACGCUGGCGGCAUGCUUUACACAUGCAAGUCGAACGGCAGCAUAGGUGCUUGCACCUGAUGGCGAGUGGCGAACGGGUGAGUAAUAUAUCGGAACAUGUCCGGAAGUGGGGGAUAACGUAGCGAAAGUUACGCUAAUACCGCAUAUGCCCUGAGGGGGAAAGGAGGGGAUCGCAAGACCUUUCGCUUUCGGAGUUGCCGAUAUCGGAUUAGCUAGUAGGUGAGGUAAAGGCUCACCUGGGCGACGAUCCGUAGUUGGUCUGAGAGGACGACCAGCCACACUGGGACUGAGACACGGCCCAGACUCCUACGGGAGGCAGCAGUGGGGAAUUUUGGACAAUGGGCGCAAGCCUGAUCCAGCCAUGCCGCGUGAGUGAAGAAGGCCUUCGGGUUGUAAAGCUCUUUCAGCCGGAAAGAAAUCGUACUUAUUAAUACUAAGUGCGGAUGACGGUACCGGAAGAAGAAGCACCGGCUAACUACGUGCCAGCCGCCGCAGUAAAAC
rnacentral:rRNA from 1 species